rnacentral:lncRNA from 13 species
CGUGAAAUGUGCUGAAGGUGAGAAGCCACCCUCAUCUUGUUAAAUGCCAUGGCUGCUUAUUUCUUGCCUGUCAUUCCCUUCAGUUGCCCUAACCCCUUUAGAAAAGCCUCUUGGGAAUCUUUGAAAUUUUUCUUUAAAACACUACAGAAUCCAGGGAAGAACCUUGUCACGCCAUUUCAGGAGAGCAGUAAAGAGGGUGGAAUGCCUCCCAAGAUCAGCUGGAGCAGCAGGGAAUGUUCUGGAUCUCAUUUAAAAAUAUGACUUGAACUGAAAACUGUCAUCAUAUGCCUGUCAUUAUGUUCUAAAUCUUAAAACAUCCUUAUGAAGUGGCACUGCUCUUGCUCCCAUUUUACAGACGAGGAAGCAACAUUUGGGACUGUGUAUGCCAACAGCUGAUCCUCAUUUUACGUUGUUUGUUUUCUGAUACCCUUGAAAGAUUUGCAUUGCAUAUUAGAAAGAAAGUGGAAUGGUUUUGUUACAUUUUUACAACUCUCAAAGCACCUUUGUGUACUUGGUCUUUUAACUAGACGAUUCAAUUAUGUGGAUAAAGCAAGACAAGUUUUUCCAUUUUUGUUUUUGUUUAUUUUUAAAAUUUUAAGAGCCGGACCCUGCAAUCUGGGUUAUAUGAUUUGUUGGAAACCAUGUGUCAAUAGAUGAGGGGAUGGAAUUCAAAAUUAUUGCAAGUACAGGACUUAGUCCUCUAGCACUUGAUUUUGGCUUAAUUUAGAAUCUGUUCAUGCAUGGAAAUGCCAAAGACUGGAAACAUAAUUCCAAUAGUCUCAGCAGCACGCUGGGAGCAGGAGGAUCCCCAAGUCCCAGUGGGCUACAAACCUCCUGGGUCAGACUUUCUAUGUGUUUGCUUGGGUCACUGGAAGUGGCCAGGGAGACUUCUACGAAUGUGUCAGAUAUCUUGGUGCAUCAAUUUAGGCUCUGUGGCAAAGUCCAGAAGAUGAGGGAAAUUGAAAUAAUUGUGGAUACUUGGUUCUACACCUAUGGUUUUGACACGGGGGAAACAUUUGAUGUUGUUUUUUCUGCUUCAAGGAUUCCAAUGAUGUAUCUUUCUCUGUUUCAGCCACCAUGGGUUACUGACAGACCAAAAUAUCCUGACAACUCCCGAAUGCCGGAAGGAGAGAAUGGGUUUAUACAUCUGAGGACCUUGACUAUUCUGCUCUUCUGGAACAUUAAGCUCUUCCCCCAUCAAGAGGUGGUGUCUGCGUCUGUUCUCCUUGAAUUUGUGUGGCUCUUCCUGACUGCUUCAACCAAGAGACUCCAGUAGGAAUGAUACUAUAUAAUUUCUGAGGCUAGAUCAUAAGAAUGCCAUGUACUUUAAUUUUAUUCUUUGAGGGUCGCUGGCUCCUGGAACCCAGCCACCAUACUGUGAUGAAGCCUACACAACUGUGGAGAGGCUCACAUGGAGAGGAAUCAGUGCCUACUGAUCUACAGCCCUGGCUGAGCUCUCAGCCAACAGUCACGAUCAACUUCCAGCCAUAUUGAACCAUCUUGAAAGAGGCUCCCCCAGCACCAAGUUAAGCAGUGUGAUUACGUUGCCAAAGAUCACCUCUUUCCUAUCAUCUUUCUUCUGAGACUUGUUUAGAGUAAACUUGGAAGCUGUGUUUUGCUCACUCUGAAGAUUGAAUAUAAGAAAAUUUGCUUAAGUUUGGAUGAUGCAGCUGCUGAAGUAAUCUGUGAUGCACUUUCCUUCAGGAAUCCUUAUCUAUUUGUUCAGGUGUUCCACAAGUCUUCUUAUCUUGGAAUCCAAGAAUACUCAUUGUGUGGUUGCUUAUUGUUUCCCAGACACCCUGAUGCUUUGAGGCUUUGUCUCAUGCUUUCAAGUAAUGUUCUCAUGUUCACCUGCUGAUAUUCCUUCAAGGGUGCAGGCUGUAUCUCUCCAAGUGUGGAAUCAAACAAUCAGAUAAGAUGUUGUGUAACAAUUCAUAUUAAAAACGUGAUCUUGUCAGUCAAGAAGAAGAGAUGAAAACAAACACCUUGAGAGUUCAUGAGUAGAAGUAUAUAGCCCUGCAUUUAUGAUAAUAUGGUGCAGUUUAUCCAUACACAGCAAUGUAACUGCUUAAAAUGCUCCUGAAAUUCAGGCAAAAUAAAUUAUAAAUAUUAUUAAGAUCA